rnacentral:rRNA from 1 species
GACGAACGCUGGCGGCGUGCUUAAUACAUGCAAGUCAACUGAACUUGAGGUAGCAAUAUCACAAGAGAGGUGGCGCACGGGUGAGUAACACGUAGGUAAUCUGCCUUUAGGUCUGACAUAAUUCCGCGAAAGCGGGACUAAUAUCAGAUGAUGCAGCGGCUCGACAUCGAGACAGUUGUUAAACCUUCGGGCCGUAAAGAUGAGCCUGCGUCUGAUUAGGUAGUUGGCGGAAGUAAAAGACCCCACCAAGCCUGCGAUCAGUAGCUGGUCUGAGAGGAUGAUCAGCCACACUGGAACUGAGACACGGUCCAGACUCCUACGGG